rnacentral:rRNA from 1 species
AUUGAACGCUGGCGGCAGGCUUAACACAUGCAAGUCGAGCGAGCGGCGGACGGGUGAGUCAUGUCUGGGCAACUGCCUGAUGGAGGGUGAUAAUUACUGGAAACGGUAGCUAAUACCGCAUACCCUCAGAUGUGCCCAGCUGGGAUUAGUUAGUCGUUGGGGUAAUGGCUCACCUAGGCGACGAUCCCUAGCUGGUCUGAGAGGAGGACCAGCCACACUGGGACUGAGACACGGGCCAGACUCCUACGGGAGGCAGCAGGGGGGAAUAUUGCACAAUGGGCGGAAGCCUGAUGCAGCCAUGCCGCGUGAGUGAAGAAGGCCUUCGGGUGGUAAAGCACUGUCAGCGAGGAGGCGUUACUCACAGAAAAAGCACCGGCUAACUCCGUGCCAGCAGCCGCGGUAAUAC